rnacentral:rRNA from 1 species
GACAGAGGGUACAAACGUUGCUCGGAAUCACUGGGCGUAAAGGGCGUGUAGGCGGGCAGAUAAGUCGGGCGUGAAAUCCCCAGGCUCAACCUGGGAACUGCACUCGAAACUGUUUGUCUUGAGUAUCGGAGAGGAAAGCGGAAUACCUGGUGUAGAGGUGAAAUUCGUAGAUAUCAGGUGGAACACCAGUGGCGAAGGCGGCUUUCUGGACGAUAACUGACGCUGAGACGCGAAAGCGUGGGGAGCAAACAGG